CCAGUUCCAAUUCUCGGUAAUUGAGAAUAGAUCACGACAGAAAAUCGUGCUACUUGUGCAAAGAAUGCAAAAAUAGUCUCUCAGCAACGAAGUUUGGCUUAUUCGUUGCUACCAGGUAAGUGAUAAGGAUUGCACGCCUGGAGUCUCCCCAUAGAGACAGUCUUCAACGUGUAAGCCUUCAUCGUCACCGCGAUCACGACAAUUUCAGUAUAAAAACCCAGACAAUUCCUUCAGUCAGCACAGUCAGUUCACAACUGAAGCAACCAAACCAACUAAUCCAAAAUGAUGAAAUUCCUGAUCUUCGCUUUCUUCAUUGCCUUCGCCGUGGCUACCGCUUUCGCCGAGCCUGAGCCAGCUCCUCGUCCAGCUCCUCUUCCUGCUGCCUACCCUCAAGGCGGAUAUGGUUAUGGAUACGCUCCUUAUGGAGGAUAUGGUUAUGGCCCAUACUACUAAACCCCACAAAACUCCGGACAGAGAUGGAACUACAUGCAGAAACAUACAAUUUAUUUCUCAGAAUAGUGAAGUCUCACAAAUAAACUAAAUGCAAUAAUAA